AUUGAACGCUGGCGGCAUGCCUUACACAUGCAAGUCGAGCGGUAGAGAGGUGCUUGCAUCUCUUGAGAGCGGCGGACGGGUGAGUAAUGCCUAGGAAUCUGCCUGGUGGUGGGGGAUAACGUUCGGAAACGGACGCUAAUACCGCAUACGUCCUACGGGAGAAAGACGGGGGAGUCUUCGGACCUCGCGCCAUUAGAUGAGCCUAGGUCGGAUUAGCUAGUUGGUGAGGUAAUGGCUCACCAAGGCGACGAUCCGUAACUGGUCUGAGAGGAUGAUCAGUCACACUGGAACUGAGACACGGCCCAGACUCCUACGGGAGGCAGCAGUGGGGAAUAUUGGACAAUGGGCGAAAGCCUGAUCCAGCCAUGCCGCGUGUGUGAAGAAGGUCUUCGGAUUGUAAAGCACUUUAAGUUGGGAGGAAGGGUAGGUAACCUAAUACGUUGCUACUUUGUACGUACCGACAGAAUAAGACACCGGCUAACUUCGUGCCAGCAG
rnacentral:rRNA from 1 species